GGACGAAACUCUGGAAAGCUUUUGGCACCGAAGGAGUAAAUCUCUCAGGUAAAAAGGACAGGGUAAAAGAG
rnacentral:ncRNA from 1 species